UGGGGAAGGGGUCAACGAAAUAGGCAU
rnacentral:piRNA from 1 species